CCUGGCAGUCCAGUGGUUAAGACUCUGUACUUCCAGUGCAGGGGGCAGGGUUCAAUCCCUGGUCAGGA
rnacentral:tRNA from 1 species